CCUACGGGGGGCAGCAGUGGGGAAUAUUGCACAAUGGGGGAAACCCUGAUGCAGCAACGCCGCGUGAGUGAAGAAGUAUUUCGGUAUGUAAAGCUCUAUCAGCAGGGAAGAGAAUGACGGUACCUGACUAAGAAGCCCCGGCUAACUACGUGCCAGCAGCCGCGGUAAUACGGAGGGGGCAAGCGUUAUCCGGAUGUACUGGGUGUAAAGGGAGCGUAGACGGCUGUACAAGUCUGAAGUGAAAGCCCGUGGCUCAACCGCGGAACUGCAUUGGAAACUGUAAGGCUGGAGUACUGGAGAGGCAGGCGGAAUUCCUAGUGUAGCGGUGAAAUGCAUAGAUAUCACGCAGAACUCCGAUGGCGAAGGCAGCAUACCGGCGCGCAACUGACGCUGAGGCACGAAAGCGUGGGGAUCGAACAGGAUUAGAUACCCCGGUAGUC
rnacentral:rRNA from 1 species